UGAGUGACGAUAUCGAACUAGCGCCAACGAUGAUUUGUUAGUAAGCUGGGUAACUCUGGGGCUGGGCGACAACAAUCGGAUAUAUAUACUUGCUCUGUAUGCGCUUGAUGGCUGAUUCCGAGGGAAAUUGAUCAGAAGGCCUGAUUGAUGAAGGAGGCAAAAUUGAAAAGUUCUUCUAGUCCUCUUAGGUGUCUUCUUCGCUGCGAUUACUAAAGCUCUCGUUUGUUGUCAUCUGCUUCACCUUUGUUCCUGGGGAGCUUCCGGCGUUGCCACAGGGCUCACCGCCUUGGAGAAGGACAUGGAAUCGCCUCGACUGGUCUCUGCUUACCUACCGUAGUACAACAACUCAACUACAACAGAUAACUAACUAGUUGCCUAUGCUGUUCAGUAAACGUUUGUUCAUGGACUUGCUGGUUGCUCCCUUAACUAGUCACAUCUGCCUCUCAACGGCAUCGCAUCGGUACCGGUAUAGGGCCACCUGACAAAAUUCCUUCUUAGCGUUUCCAACGUUGCUAUCAACAGCAUCGACUCGUUGACAUGCUGACGUCGUAGCACUCGUUGCUCCAUUCACGACUAUUGAGGACUUAAGCACUUUCUUCUCGCGGCCCAGUCCAGUCCAGUAUUUGUAGAUGAACCGCAACGUACUCAGUCACCAGCCGUCCCUUUCUUCCGCCAUAGUCAACAUUUGAUCCCAUCAUCGACUUGGUGUUUCCGAAAGGUUCCAUGGCGACACCUCUCCGUGUGUGCAGUGUGCUGCUAUGGAAAACGGGGUAAGGCAUAUCCUGUCGAUUUGUAGACCGGUAGUCUCAUAUUUCGAACGGUAUGCCUAUAUACGUAUAAAAUCUCUCAUGGUUAGUAUUCGAUCAACUGAGCGACCGAUUAAGGAAGUUGUGCGAGUGUAUAUAUCAUCAUAGACACUCAAUGUCCCUACCAUACCACUGUAAGAAUAGGAGUCUAGGUAACCUUAGAUGGCUGGAUACGGUCAAUGGAAAGAAGGCGCGUUCCUCUCUACCUCUCCAAAGUAUAUGUCACAUGAUUAAGCAACAUUUAACACACGCUUAUGGAUUGGCCAAGCAGGAUGGAGACAAGCAUACAUGCAUAUCGACGUGGGCAACUUCCAUAGAUCCCGAUUUCGGGUUUCUUAUUGCAUCCCGACCACAACAUGGUAUCUCCUCCUCCGUUUUCUCCAGCGACGGCAUCAUUGCGGCCAGGCGAUCAUUCUCAGCUUGUUUCCACAACAUGAUUGAAGCCAUACCAAGGGAGAUAUCCUAUCAACGGCGCCUGGCAACAGCCUAGGGACGGCCCGCUGCGUGUCAUAUUUUACAAAGACCAGAGAUAUUGCUAAUACUACAUCCAUGCUAAUUAUGCUGGAAGUCAGCAAUGACGUUGCAUCGAUUGUGGAUGAUGAAGACCGCGAGCUCCACCUCAGUUCACGAUAUAUCACUAAACCUAGAGGGCUUCAGGAGGGAAUUCAGGUAGCCACUAGCAGAGAUUUACAGGAUCAGCCAGGGAUCAGAUAUCUGUCCAGCUUCACUAAUGCGGCCUGCAGUGGGCAAGACACGAGCGACGCCUGUACUCUAGAGUCAGUCAGUGUGUUGUCCAUCCAGUCAGCAGAGAGAUCCUUAGCUUGUGGUGUUGACAAGGAUCAUCAUUGUCAAGUUAUUGACCGGGAUAGGCUGUCUGGGAGGGCCACUCAUCUCUUGCAUCUCCUGUUUGGACUACUCAAUCAGCAAUCAAUCAAUCGAGCUUUGAGUUUUGAGCGCUCCGUAUUGCUAUGUGCGGGGUUGACUCCCAUCCCCAUCAACUGCUGAUGGGGGUCAAGAGCCAAUUUUGCAUAGCCCAAUAGAUACGGUUCAAAUAAAAUCAAGAGAGGCUUCAGGCCUCUUCUAAUAGCUUCCUAUCUAAUGGUCCCACUGAUUGUCUAGCUUGCGGUCUACAUCAAUCCGUACGCGUGCAUGCUGGAUGGAUGUAUGGGUACACGACUCUAGGCGGACCACAGUCAUGCGAUAAAUCUGCAUAAGAAAUUCCCUGUACCAGAAAAAACAAUGAAACUACUUGGCACGGCUGGAGUUGGCGUCGUCGUUGCCGGAGUCAGGAAAGUAUAGUUACAAAUCAGGUGAUUUGUGAGGGGUACCGUAGGUAACGGUAAGAGAUAAAAGGAAAGCCCCUCCUCGUAGCUCUGAUCCGUCGAAGUAUAAAAACAACCUCUCCACCCCCAGUUUCUCUCAGAUCGUUCCCUGUCCACAAACAAUCAACUUGCUAUUACCACAGAUAUCUUUCAAACCAAUACCAACCACAUCAAUCAAAAUGGGUUCCGACCACACCUGCAGCUGCGGCUCCUCCUGCCAGUGCCCCUCCGGCGCCUGCCAAUGCCCUAAAUAAAUAACCACCGAGUUACCCCGAUCUAGAACUGCCAUCGUCAAGUUAUAGCACUCUCAGCAUUCAACAAUGCGAACAGUGUUCACGUUCUACGGGUUGCGAGAAAUAUGGGACUUUCGUUAAGGAGGACUUUGUUUUGUUAGCAUUGCCUCGUCGCAGUCUCCAGCUGUCAAUCAUGACGACUAGCGAUGGAGUUACAUCUGAGUAAUCUCAAUUUCUUACGGAGAAGUCUGUUUUACUUGAUCGUAGUCCAUAAGUUUACAACCCUGAACGUAGAUGCAACUGAA
rnacentral:lncRNA from 1 species